rnacentral:rRNA from 1 species
AUUGCUUUGCAUGAGCCGGAUCUGGAGAUAGGAGAGGACCGCACAAGGUGGCGGCUAGAGCCAACUGGGCAAUUCUCCUCUAAAUCUCUCUACCAGGCUAUAGCCCCUUCGCCGGGUCCUAAAGCUCUCACCACCAUCUGGGUGAUCCGGCUCCCCUUAAAGAUUAGGAUCUUCUUAUGGCAAUGGAUUCGCGACCGCCUUUCGUCCGGCGUAGAGGUCCUGAAACGCAACGACCCUGGUGAUGGGCAGUGCCCGCUCUGCAGGCCUGAAGAGGAUAUGAACCAUAUCUUCUUCACCUGCAUGUCCGUGCAGUUCCUCUGGAGCUGUUUCCACGAAUUAGUGGGUGGAAGUUGGGACUGUCGUGGUUCUAAGGCUGACAGUAGAAAGGGGGGUAGGUAUGGAGACGCAAGAUCGCAGCUAUGGUGA